GGACGAACGCUGGCGGCGUGCUUAACACAUGCAAGUCGAGCGGUAAGGCCCGUUUCGGGGGUACACGAGCGGCGAACGGGUGAGUAACACGUGGGUGACCUGCCCUUAGCUCUGGGAUAAGCCUGGGAAACUGGGUCUAAUACCGGAUAUGACUCCAUGACGCAUGUUGUGGGGUGGAAAGCCUUGUGCGGCUAGGGAUGGGCCCGCGGCCUAUCAGCUUGUUGGUGGGGUGAUGGCCUACCAAGGCGACGACGGGUAGCCGGCCUGAGAGGGCGACCGGCCACACUGGGACUGAGACACGGCCCAGACUCCUACGGGAGGCAGCAGUGGGGAAUCUUGCGCAAUGGGCGAAAGCCUGACGCAGCGACGCCGCGUGAGGGAUGACGGCCU
rnacentral:rRNA from 1 species